rnacentral:lncRNA from 1 species
GAUUACCAAAAAUAAGUUGUUGGUCGUGUCUCAUGUGGGUGUUGCUUCCCCUUUUGUGUGUAUAUUAAAGUCUUUUGAGUGAUGGAACUGUCUUUACCUUCAACGUCUUUGAUCAUAGACAUGCUUCAAAAGUUUUAAUAUUAUAUAUAUGAUUUCAUUGUUCACGUGACUGAGCACUGCUCAAUUAAACAAUUCAAGAUUAUACAUGAAUUUCUGCUAUUCGCUAAUAAACCAGUUCAUAGUAUAAUCUUGAAAAUUAUGGACACAUCUUGAAAUCGCAGAAAUUAAUUGAUGCCAUGGUAAUGUGCUUUACCGCAGUUAAAGCUAAAUAUUAGGAAGUUUCAAAAUGUGUGAACAAAAAAGACACACAACCAGCUCCAUACACGGUCACAUGCAUAGCAUGUCCAAAUCAAUUUUUAUAUAUUGACUUGAUAGCCAAACACAUAAGCAAAUAAGUGAAUACGUUUCAGAUAUAUUGAUGAAGCAAUAUAGACUGGUUCGGUUUCUUAUCUUCCUCUUAUCAAUUUUUAUAUGCUUCGUCACAAUCCAUUCUCAAUGCCCACCAACACUACCUGCGCCUCAACGAAUGCCACCACCACCACCACCACCUGGCCCAUCUUCAAAGCCAUGUCCACCGCAAGGCACAUAUAAAUUCCCACCUGCUCCUCAACCGGUGCCAUCACUAGCACCUUGCACAUGUCCGUGUCCAUCAGACCCAUCUCCAAGACAAGAGCCACCAAAGAACGUUACCGUACCGGCAUUGUUUGUAUUUGGGGAUUCGCUCGUAGACACAGGAAAUAACAAUAACGUAAGCACACCUCUGAGGUGUAAUUUUCGACCAUACGGUAUCGAUUUCUUACAAGGUGUUCCCACUGGUCGGUACUCCGAUGGCAAAGUCCCUUCCGAUUUUUUAGGUUCUUUCCUUUGGCCUUUUUCUCCUUUUCUUCUUACAGUUAACUCUAGUAAGUCGAGUUUUGCUAGUUUUCUUUUAGUAAAAAACAAAGUUGAUUAUGUAAAUUGAAGCCCCGAUUGUUUGUAUGGAUUUACGUAUAAACAAGUGUUUGCAUUUCCAUGUUAAAAUAAACAUGCAUGGAAUGCAUACGUAAAAUGCAUGCAAGCAUACAAAUAAUCGGUGGAUUCGUAUAAUAUACAUCUCUGUUUAAUAAAUGCGUUGAACGAAUAUGAUUUCUACUAGAACUUUUUUUAUUAUAUAUUUAUCAGUUGGAAUAUAAUAAUAUAUGCUAUUAUGUUUAGCAAAAAAAAAUAUGUGCUAUUUUUUUUUCUUUUUUAAAAUACAUUUUGAUUUCAUCUUUAUUUUGCAGCGGAGUAUUUGGGGAUAAAAUCGGUCGUACCAGCAUAUAUGGAUCCAAAAUUACAACCAGAUGAUUUACUCACCGGUGUAUGCUUCGCUUCGGGUGGUAGUGGUUACAUUCCUAUGACACCCACAUAUUUGGUAAACUCGAAUUAGUCUCCUCUCACCACCACUUGGUUACUGAAUUGGGUUUGAUUACCAAAAAUAAGUUGUUGGUCGUGUCUCAUGUGGGUGUUGCUUCCCCUUUUGUGUGUAUAUUAAAGUCUUUUGAGUGAUGGAACUGUCUUUACCUUCAACGUCUUUGAUCAUAGACAUGCUUCAAAAGUUUUAAUAUUAUAUAUAUGAUUUCAUUGUUCACGUGACUGAGCACUGCUCAAUUAAACAAUUCAAGAUUAUACAUGAAUUUCUGCUAUUCGCUA